UACGGAGGGGGCUAGCGUUGUUCGGAAUUACUGGGCGUAAAGCGCGCGUAGGCGGCUUUGCAAGUUAGAGGUGAAAGCCCGGAGCUCAACUUCAGAAUUGCCUUUAAGACUGCAUCGCUUGAAUCCGGGAGAGGUGAGUGGAAUUCCGAGUGUAGAGGUGAAAAUUCGUAGAUAUUCGGAAGAACACCAGUGGCGAAGGCGGCUCACUGGACCGGCAUUGACGCUGAGGUGCGAAAGCGUGGGGAGCAAACAGGG
rnacentral:rRNA from 1 species